CCUGGUAGCGGGGGGUAACUAAUGAAAACGAUAGCUAAUACCGCAUAACAGUAGAUAUCGCAUGAUAGCUGCUUGAAAGGUGCAAAUGCAUCACUACCAGAUGGACCUGCGUUGUAUUAGCUAGUUGGUGAGGUAACGGCUCACCAAGGCAACGAUACAUAGCCGACCUGAGAGGGUGAUCGGCCACACUGGGACUGAGACACGGCCCAG
rnacentral:rRNA from 1 species